rnacentral:rRNA from 1 species
AAUAGAUACCCGGGUAGUCCACGCCGUAAACGUUGGGCGCUAGGUGUGGGGUCCGUUCCACGGGUUCCGUGCCGCAGCUAACGCAUCAAGCGCCCCGCCUGGGGAGUACGGCCGCAAGGCUAAAACUCAAAGGAAUUGACGGGGGCCCGCACAAGCGGCGGAGCAUGCGGAUUAAUUCGAUGCAACGCGAAGAACCUUACCAAGGCUUGACAUGGGCGGUAAUCCGGUAGAGAUGUCGGGUCCGUAAGGGCCGUUCACAGGUGGUGCAUGGUUGUCGUCAGCUCGUGUCGUGAGAUGUUGGGUUAAGUCCCGCAACGAGCGCAACCCUUGUUCCAUGUUGCCAGCACUUCGGGUGGGGACUCAUGGGAGACUGCCGGGGUCAACUCGGAGGAAGGUGGGGAUGACGUCAAAUCAUCAUGCCCCUUAUGUCUUGGGCUUCACGCAUGCUACAAUGGCCAGUACAAAGGGCUGCGAGACCGUGAGGUGGAGCGAAUCCCAAAAAGCUGGUCUCAGUUCGGAUCGGGGUCUGCAACUCGA